UACGUAGGGCGCGAGCGUUGUCCGGAAUUAUUGGGCGUAAAGAGCUCGUAGGCGGCCUGUUGCGUCUGCUGUGAAAUCCCGGGGCUUAACCCCGGGCGUGCAGUGGAUACGGGCAGGCUGGAGGCAGGCAGGGGAGAAUGGAAUUCCCGGUGUAGCGGUGAAAUGCGCAGAUAUCGGGAGGAACACCGGUGGCGAAGGCGCCUUGCUGGCCGAUUUCUGACGCUGAGGCGCGAAAGCGUGGGGAGCAAACAGG
rnacentral:rRNA from 1 species